rnacentral:rRNA from 1 species
AAUCAACGCUGGCGGCGUGCCUCAGACAUGCAAGUCGAACGCGAAAUUUCCCUUCGGGGAGAAAGUAGAGUGGCGCACGGGUGAGUAACACGUAGGUAAUCUACCUUCGGAUGGGGAAUAACAGUCGGAAACGGCUGCUAAUACCGCAUAAUGCAGCGGCACCUAAUGGUGACAGUUGUUAAAGCGGGGGAUCGAAAGACCUCGCGUCUGAAGAGGAGCCUGCGGCGGAUUAGCUAGUUGGUAAGGUAAUGGCUUACCAAGGCUACGAUCCGUAACCGGCCUGAGAGGGCGGUCGGUCACACUGACACUGAAUAACGGGUCAGACUCCUACGGGAGGCAGCAGUCGGGAAUUUUGGGCAAUGGGCGAAAGCCUGACCCAGCAACGCCGCGUGAAGGAUGAAAUCUUUC